GCAGGGACGGAUGCACAAACACAAGGCACACCAGGGUCGAUACUGCGCGUUUAUUACCUCUGCGUCUGGGCGGGGGUUCCCCAGCGAUUUCCCGAUCGAGGCACUAAUGGAGCGGGAGAGUCCCUGGCACCGCUGAGCGUCGGUCCAGGGCGAGGAACGCCGGGGGGGCACUAUGUGAGGUUUUUAUGGACGGCACACAUGCGCAGCAAGCACAUUGAGCUCAUCGCUGCUUCCGAUUCAGAGCCCAGGUGCAGCGCCACACUGGCACGGGCUCGGCCGUGUGACUGUGGGUCAGCGUGCCCAGCGGAUGCUCCUUUUCCCACGGGACGGUCUGGCUAGCUUCCAUCGCCUAGCUCCUCGACCUUCCUCCGCAUUUUCCCGUACAAAUACUUGUUUUCUGAUCUCACAGAUAAGAUGAAAGUUUGAAAGGACAUUUAUCAGGGCUUUACAUUCUCCACAAGGAUUCCUUCUCUUGAUGGGAGAUCUAAGAUGGCCUGAACGUCAGUAUCAAAAAGGAGAAUGGAACUUUAGCCAAAGAAUUUAUCCACAGGGAGCAACAGAGUAUCACCACUCAGUGCCCAAAGAGUAACAAGGCACCAGAAGAGUGUAUACAUGACUGGCAUUUCUUCAUCACCUGAUCACCUUGGAGGAUGAAGCAAUAACGAGAUUUAAUGGCGUGUGAGCCCUCUUAUUAGGACUUCUGGGUUCCUCUGAACCCAAAAGGCAACUGACAAAACUAAAACUGCUAAAGUCAUUCUCAGUGUCAGGCAUCACAGAUCUGGCUGAAAUCCUUCAUUUUGAAGGCUCACA